GUGAAAGUGAAGCCUGGAUUGCCAUGGAGU
rnacentral:piRNA from 1 species